CAAAGGCUUGGUCCUGACUUUACUAUCAACUUUAGCCAAAUUUACACAUGCAAGUAUCCGCCCCCCUGUGAGAAUGCCCUACAGCUCCCUGCCCGGGAGCAAGGAGCUGGUAUCAGGCACACACCUGUAAGCCCAUGACACCUUGCUUAGCCACACCCUCAAGGGAACUCAGCAGUGAUAAACAUUAAGCCAUAAGUGAAAACUUGACUUAGUUAAAGCUAAGAGGGCCGGUAAAACUCGUGCCAGCCACCGCGGCUAUACGAGAGACCCAAGUUGAUACCAUUCGGCGUAAAGAGUGGUUAUGGAAAAUAAAUACUAAAGCCGCACACCUUCAAAGCUGUUAUACGCAUCCGAAGGUUAGAAGACCAACCACGAAGGUAGCUUUACAACCCCUGACCCCACGAAAGCUCUGGCACAAACUGGGAUUAGAUACCCCACUAUGCCUAGCCCUAAACCUUGGUAAUAUAUCACACACCCUACCCGCCUGGGAACUACGAGCACCAGCUUAAAACCCAAAGGACUUGGCGGUGCUUUAGACCCCCCUAGAGGAGCCUGUUCUAGAACCGAUAACCCCCGUUCAACCUCACCCUUCCUUGUUUAUCCCGCCUAUAUACCGCCGUCGUCAGCUUACCCUGUGAAGGCCUAAAAGUAAGCACAACUGGCACAACCCAAAACGUCAGGUCGAGGUGUAGCGCAUGGAGGGGGAAGAAAUGGGCUACAUUCCCUAUAUUAGGGAACACGAACGGCGCACUGAAACACGCGCCUGAAGGAGGAUUUAGUAGUAAGCGGAAAAUAGAGUGUUCCGCUGAAAUCGGCCCUGAAGCGCGCACACACCGCCCGUCACUCUCCCCAAGCCUACCACUUUAAAUAAUUAAAAACCCAAAUAAUCGCGGAGGGGAGGCAAGUCGUAACAUGGUAAGGGUACCGGAAGGUGCACUUGGUAAUAU
rnacentral:rRNA from 1 species